rnacentral:rRNA from 1 species
GUCCGUCCGUCCGACGUCCAGUACGUAGGUAGGUAACGGUUAGGUAGGUUUAGGUAGUUGAUCGGCUCGACGAGAGAACGACGCGUCGGCGGUCGUGUCAAUACAUGCAAGUCGAAUGGAGAGUGUAGCAAUAUACUUUUAGUGGCGAACGGGUGAGUAACGCGUUGGUGACCUGCCCCGAAGCGAGGGAUAACAGUUCGAAAGAACUGCUAAUACCUCAUGUGAUCACCGGUUUUAGAAUCUGGUGAUUAAAGGUGAAAAUCACUUCGGGAGGGGCCUGCGUCCCAUCAGCUAGUUGGUAAGGUAAUGGCUUACCAAGGCGAUGACGGGUAGGGGACCUGAGAGGGUGGCCCCCCACAAUGGAACUGAAACACGGUCCAUACACCUACGGGUGGCAGCAGUAGGGAAUAUUGCAAAUGGGCGAAAGCCUGAUGUAGCAACGCCGCGUGUGCGAUGAAGGUCUUCGGAUUGUAAAGCACUUUUUGGAGGGAUGAGGAAGGACAGUACCUCCAGAAUAAGCCUCGGCUAACUACGUG